CGAAUGCCUGCUGUGGACAAAUAUUGUGGACAUGCGUGUCAAUUCCACCAGCGGUGACGAUCUUACCACCAGCGUCAAUGAUGUCGGUGUUCGAUCCAAUUACCAUGUUAUCAGAAACACCAUCCAUCGUUGCUGGGUUACCAGCCUUUCCAAUGCCAGCAAUGGUACCAUUCUUGACACCAAUGUCAGCCUUGAAAAUGCCAGUCCAGUCAAUGAUGACGGCGUUGAUGACAGCCAAGUCAAGACAAUCCGCGUCAGAGCGGCCGCUUGCAGCUCCCAUGCCAUCUCG
rnacentral:sRNA from 1 species